CAGCAUUUUUAGACAGUUCAAAGAGUCCUAAAUACAAAUCCACCAUAUAACAUUUUUUUUAGGUCCCCAGUUUCUCGGAAUUUUCAUUUAAAAAUGGAUGCCUUGCUCUCAGGCGAGAAAAUACUGGUAAAUAGG